rnacentral:miRNA from 1 species
CUUAUGGCUUCAAGCUUUCGG